UACGUAGGCAGCGAGCGUUGUUCGGAGUUACUGGGCGUAAAGGGUGUGUAGGCGGUUCUUUUAAGUUUGCUGUGAAAUCUCCCGGCUUAACCGGGAGGGUGCGGUGAAUACUGAGGGACUAGAGUACGGGAGAGGAAAGUGGAAUUCCUGGUGUAGCGGUGAAAUGCGUAGAUAUCAGGAGGAACACCAAUAGCGAAGGCAGCUCGCUGGGACGUUACUGACACUGAGGCGCGAAAGCGUGGGGAGCGAACAGG
rnacentral:rRNA from 1 species